rnacentral:rRNA from 1 species
GGUUAAGUUAAUAAGGGCGCACGGUGGAUGCCUUGGCACUAGAAGCCGAAGAAGGACGUGACAAACGACGAAAUGCUUUGGGGAGCUGUAAGUAAGCGCUGAUCCAGAGAUGUCCGAAUGGGGGAACCCACUAACUAAUGGUUAGUAUCCAUAACUGUUAAGGUUAUGAGAAGGAAGACGCAGUGAACUGAAACAUCUAAGUAGCUGCAGGAAGAGAAAGCAAACGCGAUUGCCUUAGUAGCGGCGAGCGAAACGGCAGGAGGGCAAACCGAAGUGUUUACACUUCGGGGUUGUAGGACUGCGACGUGGGACUUUAAAAGGAUAGAAGAAUUACCUGGGAAGGUAAGCCAAAGAGAGUAAAAGCCUCGUAUUUAAAAUUCUUUUGAGCCCUAGCAGUAUCCUGAGUACGGCGAGACACGUGAAAUCUCGUUGGAAUCUGGGAGGACCAUCUCCCAACCCUAAAUACUCUCUAGUGACCGAUAGUGAACCAGUACCGUGAGGGAAAGGUGAAAAGCACCCCGGGAGGGGAGUGAAAUAGAACCUGAAACCGUGUGCCUACAACAAGUUCGAGCCCGUUAAUGGGUGAGAGCGUGCCUUUUGUAGAAUGAACCGGCGAGUUACGAUAUGAUGCGAGGUUAAGUUGAAGAGACGGAGCCGUAGGGAAACCGAGUCUUAAUAGGGCGAUUUAGUAUCAUGUUGUAGACCCGAAACCAUGUGACCUACCCAUGAGCAGGUUGAAGGUGAGGUAAAACUCACUGGAGGACCGAACCAGGGCACGUUGAAAAGUGCUUGGAUGACUUGUGGGUAGCGGAGAAAUUCCAAACGAACUUGGAGAUAGCUGGUUCUCUCCGAAAUAGCUUUAGGGCUAGCGUCGAUGUUAAGUCUCUUGGAGGUAGAGCACUGUUUGGGUGAGGGGUCCAUCUCGGAUUACCAAUCUCAGAUAAACUCCGAAUGCCAACGAGAUAUCAUCGGCAGUCAGACUGCGAGUGCUAAGAUCCGUAGUCGAAAGGGAAACAGCCCAGACCACCAGCUAAGGUCCCAAAAUAACUGUUAAGUGGAAAAGGAUGUGGGGUUGCACAGACAACUAGGAUGUUAGCUUAGAAGCAGCUAUUCAUUCAAAGAGUGCGUAAUAGCUCACUAGUCGAGUGACCCUGCGCCGAAAAUGUACCGGGGCUAAAACAGUUUACCGAAGCUGUGGAUGACACAAAAGUGUCAUGGUAGGAGAGCGUUCUAUGUGUGAAGAAGGUGUACCGUGAGGAGCGCUGGAACGCAUAGAAGUGAGAAUGCCGGUAUGAGUAGCGAAAGACAGGUGAGAAUCCUGUCCACCGUAAGACUAAGGUUUCCAGGGGAAGGCUCGUCCGCCCUGGGUUAGUCGGGACCUAAGGAGAGACCGAAAGGUGUAUCCGAUGGCCAACAGGUUGAUAUUCCUGUACUAGAGUAUAUAGUA